rnacentral:rRNA from 2 species
GUGGGCAACCUGCCUGUAAGACUGGGAUAACUUCGGGAAACCGAAGCUAAUACCGGAUAGGAUCUUCUCCUUCAUGGGAGAUGAUUGAAAGAUGGUUUCGGCUAUCACUUACAGAUGGGCCCGCGGUGCAUUAGCUAGUUGGUGAGGUAACGGCUCACCAAGGCAACGAUGCAUAGCCGACCUGAGAGGGUGAUCGGCCACACUGGGACUGAGACACGGCCCAGACUCCUACGGGAGGCAGCAGUAGGGAAUCUUCCGCAAUGGACGAAAGUCUGACGGAGCAACGCCGCGUGAGUGAUGAAGGCUUUCGGGUCGUAAAACUCUGUUGUUAGGGAAGAACAAGUACAAGAGUAACUGCUUGUACCUUGACGGUACCUAACCAGAAAGCCACGGCUAACUACGUGCCAGCAGCCGCGGUAAUACGUAGGUGGCAAGCGUUAUC